rnacentral:rRNA from 1 species
CAUGAGCAACCUGCCCUUCAGAGGGGGACAACAGUUGGAAACGACUGCUAAUACCGCAUAACAUAUCCGGGAGGCAUCUCCUGGAUAUCAAAGAUUUAUCGCUGAAGGAUGGGCUCAUGUCUGAUUAGCUAGUUGGUGGGGUAACGGCCCACCAAGGCUGCGAUCAGUAGCCGGUCUGAGAGGAUGAACGGCCACAUUGGGACUGAGAUACGGCCCAGACUCCUACGGAAGGCAGCAG